GAUGAACGCUGGCGGCGUGCCUAAUACAUGCAAGUCGAGCGAACAGACGAGGAGCUUGCUCCUCUGACGUUAGCGGCGGACGGGUGAGUAACACGUGGAUAACCUACCUAUAAGACUGAGAUACUUCGGGAAACCGGAGCUAAUACCGGAUAAUAUAUUGAACCGCAUGGUUCAAUAGUGAAAGACGGUUUUGCUGUCACUUAUAGAUGGAUCCGCGCCGCAUUAGCUAGUUGGUAAGGUAACGGCUUACCAAGGCAACGAUGCGUAGCCGACCUGAGAGGGUGAUCGGCCACACUGGAACUGAGACACGGUCCAGACUCCUACGGGAGGCAGCAGUAGGGAAUCUUCCGCAAUGGGCGAAAGCCUGACGGAGCAACGCCGCGUGAGUGAUGAAGGUCUUCGGAUCGUAAAACUCUGUUAUUAGGGAAGAACAAAUGUGUAAGUAACUAUGCACGUCUUGACGGUACCUAAUCAGAAAGCCACGGCUAACUACGUG
rnacentral:rRNA from 1 species